UCGAACGCGAAAGGGGCUUCGGCCCUGAGUAGAGUGGCGAACGGGUGAGUAACACGUGGGUGACCUACCUUCGAAUGGGGGAUAACGUUCCGAAAGGGACGCUAAUACCGCAUAACAUCCUGCCUUUGAACAGGUGGAGAUCAAAGCCGGGGAUCGCAAGACCUGGCGUUUGAAGAGGGGCCCGCGUCCGAUUAGCUAGUUGGUGAGGUAAUGGCUCACCAAGGCAACGAUCGGUAGCCGGCCUGAGAGGGCGGACGGCCACACUGGGACUGAGACACGGCCCAGACUCCUACGGGAGGCAGCAGUGGGGAAUUGUUCGCAAUGGGCGCAAGCCUGACGACGCAACGCCGCGUGGAGGAUGAAGGUCUUCGGAUUGUAAACUCCUGUUGCCCGGGACGAAUGGCUCUGACCUAACACGUCAGAGUGUGACGGUACCGGGUGAGGAAGCCCCGGCUAACUCUGUGCCAGCAGCCGCGGUAAUACAGAGGGGGCAAGCGUUG
rnacentral:rRNA from 1 species